rnacentral:rRNA from 1 species
UAGGGAAUCUUCGGCAAUGGGGGGAACCCUGACCGAGCAACGCCGCGUGAGUGAAGAAGGUUUUCGGAUCGUAAAGCUCUGUUGUUAAGGAAGAACGAGUGUGAGAAUGGAAAGUUCAUGCUGUGACGGUACUUAACCAGAAAGGGACGGCUAACUACGUGCCAGCAGCCGCGGUAAUACGUAGGUCCCGAGCGUUGUCCGGAUUUAUUGGGCGUAAAGCGAGCGCAGGCGGUUAGAAAAGUCUGAAGUGAAAGGCAGUGGCUCAACCAUUGUAGGCUUUGGAAACUGUUUAACUUGAGUGCAGAAGGGGAGAGUGGAAUUCCAUGUGUAGCGGUGAAAUGCGCAGAUAUUAGGAGGAAUACCGGUGGCGAAGGCGACUUUCUGGCCAUAACCUGACGCUGAGGUACGAAAGCGUGGGUAGCAAACAGG